UGAUGUCUUUUUUAUACUUUUCUGGACCUUGACAGUGUUUUUUACUUGUUUUUAUCCAAAAUAUCUUAAAUUGUGUUCUGAAGACGAACUAAGCUUUUACGGGUUUGGAACGACAUGGGCGUAAGUGAUUAAUGACAAAAUUUUAAUUUUGGGGUGGAGUAUCCCUUAAAUGUGUGUAUCUAUGAAUCUACUAAAGUUAACUUAGCCUGGAAAUUAGUCAUAGCAUGACAAAUGAGUAGGGCAAUUUUAAUUAAAAUACAUAUACAGUAUAUACAUGAAAUGGACAUAGGCCUAGAUGGUAUACAAAUGAAUAACUAACAUAAGUCAGUUUGAAAAUGUGUUUUAAGCUUAUUUUCUUUCUCACAGUGCCGUAGUUGAGUCAUACACUAUGUUAAGGUAAACCCAAAAUGCCAUUGAACAUUCAAUGUGAAACAACUAUAUAAUGAUAAUGUUUUCAUGUUCGUGUUUUGAUACGUUUGUGUUUUGAAUCGUUUACUUGCAGUUCGUUUACAAACAGCACGUGCAGCUUGAACCCGAUGAAGAGCUUCUUCAUCGCUGGCAAACGAUAAGUUGCAGCUUCGACUCAGUGGAUCACAGGGGGAGAGUGACAAUGGAUCGGAGCAGACGCUUUGCCCGCAACACUCACCCGUGAGUCGAGAGCUCAUUUUGACAUUGUACAGAGACUGUAAAACUAGGAUCAGGGAACUCCGGGUUGUUCAAGCUGGCGCCGCUUGGCUUUGCUGCUCCUUCUGAAUGUACAAACACGCUUUUGAAGCGCCGUGACUGAUUACAGCUCGCGGAUUAUUAGAAAUGUUCAGUUUUAUUCCUUAAAGCUGUUAAAAGUGGAGAUAAUGGAUAUUUGGCACCAAAGACGUAAUUCCUCAGACCAGUUGAGAUCAGUCAUUUAUGAGGGAGGGAAUGAAUGAUUGAGUUUAUUUUAAUGGUAAUUUGAUAAUCAAAUUUAUUUUAAAUCGUAUCAUUGAUUUGCUGAGCUUUUCACAGUAUAUAGUGUUUCAAAACAGCUUUACUGAAAAUAAUCCAUUAAAUCUUAAAGAUCUUUUUGUUUAAUAAUUUUUCAAAUGUAAAUAAUUUUUUUAAACAUCAUUUUUUACGUUUAUUUAUUUUUAUAUCUUUUAUUUACAGAGAAAUCACCCUUUUUAACUUCAUAUUUUUAUGUAUGUAAAGUGCUUUGAGAUGCUACUUUUAAAGGUGG
ensembl:lncRNA